UCAGCUCGUGUCGUGAGAUGUUGGGUUAAGUCCCGCAACGAGCGCAACCCCUAUUGUUAGUUGCCAUCAUUCAGUUGGGCACGUCUAGCGAAGACUGCCGGUAAUAAACCGGAGGAAGGUGGGGAAUGGACGUCAAAUCAUCAUGCCCCUUAUGACCUGGGCUACACACGUGCUACAAUGGUUGGUACAACGAGUUGCGAGUCGGUGACGGCGAGCUAAUCUCUUAAAGCCAAUCUCAGUUCGGAUUGUAGGCUGCAACUCGCCUACAUGAAGUCGGAAUCGCUAGUAAUCGCGGAUCAGCACGCCGCGGUGAAUACGUUCCCGGGCCUU
rnacentral:rRNA from 1 species